UACGUAGGGUGCAAGCGUUAAUCGGAAUUACUGGGCGUAAAGCGUGCGCAGGCGGUUGUGCAAGACCGAUGUGAAAUCCCCGGGCUUAACCUGGGGAUGGCAUUGGUGACUGCACGGCUAGAGUGUGUCAGAGGGGGGUAGAAUUCCACAUGUAGCAGUGAAAUGCGUAGAGAUGUGGAGGAAUACCGAUGGCGAAGGCAGCCCCCUGGGAUAACACUGACGCUCAUGCACGAAAGCGUGGGGAGCAAACAGG
rnacentral:rRNA from 1 species